GAUUAUUGAAUUUUUAUUUUAAUAUUGCAGAAGAAAAAUUCGAAAUUACAAUUGAAUUAAAAAUUACAUUAAUUAUUGUAGCAACUUAAUUAAUAAUUUUAUUCAGGCUCAGACUCCGAGCUCUCUUCCGCGGCAGUUUCCAACCAAGUUAACCACGAAUUCACCUAUAUAAAGAGAUCAGAGUCAAUGCAAACGUUCAUAAUGACAAAUGAAGGGUGUUGCCAUAAUUUAUUCACACACAUGGUGCGAAAAUAUCGGCUAAGAGAGCUGCAAUUUUAUCGAAAUACGUCAAAAUAUGUCAAAAAAUGAAAUACGGUUGUAGCUAUGAUUGGCUAUUUCUAUAUCACGUCAUAAUUAGUGGUUGUUACUUUUAUUAGAUUGUCGUUGUUAUAUGAAAUUGAGGGCAUUUUGAUACUAAAAUUAAAACUAUAUAGUAUGGGUGGAAAGCGACAGGAUCAGGACCAUGUCGCAGCUUAUGUAUGAACCAGGUUAUUUCCACCUUGGGAAAAAUGCACAGAAAUAUUGGAUAUUUAAAAAAAUUAUAUGGCAGACCAGGGGGUCCUGCAGCCAAGAAACGGUUUUUGUCAAACAGGAAGGGAUCAGGAAAUAUGCUUGGUUCUUGGUACACCAAGGCAUUUUGCGCAGAUUCUUCAGAAAUUGUUUGUAGUUGUUUACAAAUUCAGGAAUUUUGCGCAGAUUUUCAUAAUAGACCUUUCCUGUAAUUACGUCACAGCUACAUUGUUUUCAACUGAGGACCUCCUUAAAUGGAAUGGAUUUAAAGUUUUUUCUCACAGGCUAUGCGCAAAGAAGCAGAGCAUCCUUCUUCAACACAUGCAUGAAAAAGAUUUUUUUAUUUUGACCAAUAAAUGUGAAACUAAGCUUUAACCCAAAAAGGAGGCUGAGGGGCAAUGGCCCCUUUGGGUUUUGAAGCAAGAAUAUUUAUAAUGAGACGAGUUUUUAAAGCUCUCAUAUUCUUUACAAAUCGAAUCGUUAUAGUUGUUUAAAUUUAGUUUUACUAACAAGAAAAUGUCUUUCCUAUGAAACUUGAAAGAUACAGCUUGUGACACAUAUUCAAAUUAACUUUAGAAGGGCUCACUAGAUAAUGACAC